UUUUUCCCCUGUAGCUGUGCACCCCUGAUCUUCCCAGCACAGUCACGGAAAUCUCUCAAUCUGUAUCUCCAUACCUGCAUAAUGUCAGUGGAAAGAAGAGGAGACAGCAGCAGGAGAAGAUAUUCUGCAGGAUCCUGCUGCUCAUCAUCCUCACCUCAUGUGUCUCUGGAUCAUUUGUAGUCAAUGUGACACAGACCUCCUAUCAGGCAGAGGAGAACCACAACAUCACACUGGAGUGGACGUUCACCACCAAACCUGACAGAUCCUCCAAAACUCUCAACAUCCUCUGUGAACUCUUCAUCAGUCAUAAAUCCUCAGUCCUGUAUCAUGUUCAUGAAGGUGUUGAGGUGUCAGAGUCUCAGGAUGCAAAGUUUUCAGGACGAGUCCAGAGUGACAAAGACGCCCUCAGAGAAGGACGAAUCAGACUUCAACUGUCCAGACUCAGGACUGAUGACUCGGGUCUGUACCUGUGUGAGGUCAACACUGAUUAUGGCUUCAGUGUUGGAAGAUGUCGACUUAACGUCACUGCUGUUAGAGAUUGUCCUCAACCUGAGACAUCAAACACAGAAAGUCAAGGAAGGAUCGGAGUUUAC
ensembl:lncRNA